rnacentral:pre_miRNA from 1 species
UGUUAAAAUUUUUAUUAUAUAGUUAAAAAUUAGGCUAACUGAUAGAAUAACCAAACAAUAACACGUGGCAUGCUAUUUGUACCUCAUACUGAUAUAUAAAGAUCGGUUUUUAACAACAAAAUGGAUGGAAAUUUUAAUA